AGCCGCGGUAAUACAUAGGGUGCAAGCGUUGUCCGGAAUUAUUGGGCGUAAAGAGCUCGUAGGUCGUUUGCCACGUCGGAUGUGAAAACCUGAGGCUCAACCUCAGGCCUGCAUUCGAUACGAGCAAACUAGAGUUUGGUAGGGGAGACUGGAAUUCCUGGUGUAGCGGUGGAAUGCGCAGAUAUCAGGAGGAACACCAACGGCGAAGGCAGGUCUCUGGGCCAAUACUGACACUGAGGAGCGAAAGUCUGGGGAGCGAACAGGAUUAGAUACCCUGGUAGUCCAGACCGUAAACGGUGGGCACUAGUUGUGGGAACCUUCCACGGUUUCUGCGACGCAGCUAACGCAUUAAGUGCCCCGCCUGGGGAGUACGAUCGCAAGAUUAAAACUCAAAGGAAUUGACGGGGCCCCGCACAAGCAGCGGAGCAUGCGGCUCANUUCGACGCAACGCGAAGAACCUUACCAAGGCUUGACAUAUAGGGAAAAGUGGCAGAGAUGCCAUGUCCGCAAGGGCCCUAUACAGGUGGUGCAUGGUUGUCGUCAGCUCGUGUCGUGAGAUGUUGGGUUAAGUCCCGCAACGAGCGCAACCCUCGUUCUGUGUUGCCNGCAUUUAGUUGGGGACUCACAGGAGACUGCCGGGGUUAACUCGGAGGAAGGUGAGGAUGACGUCAAAUCAUCAUGCCCCUUAUGUCUUGGGCUGCACGCAUGCUAC
rnacentral:rRNA from 1 species